CCCGCCCCCGCCGCCUCAGAACCUGAUGCCGCCGCCGCUUCAGCACCUGGUGCCCUCGCCGCUGAGGUUCCUGCCGACGUAGGCUCCUUCGGCCGUCCGUCCUCUCGUACUUGGAGGCUGCAGACUAACAGAUCUCCAGAUGGAUGGAGUGGUCGCAUGCGCUCCAUUCGUUCAUCCGCCAGUUAUUCGCUUCACCUCCCCAGGACACAUGACAAGAGGUAAUUUCUUUUCUUGCUUUAUUCCUCACGUGAGCUACAAUUUAUGGAUGAGCUACGAUCUCUUGGCUAGUUGCAUAGGAGCACGAAGUGUACUUGUGAACAUAGGCUAAUUUGAUAGAUGUGCAUAUGCCGAUUCAGUCCAUGGGCAAUACUUAUAAAUUGUAAUAAAAAAUUCUUGCUUAUGUUUGCUUCAGUAGAUGGAACAAGUCUUGAUUUUUUUUUUCUUAUCAUCAUUGUAGUCUAGUAACGAUGGAGGUUCCAGUGAUCUGACGGUGUGAGGAAUUCAGAGCCGAGUUGUGCUAUUGUAAAUAACAACUUGUGAUCUGUAGGAUGACCCUGUGCAAACAUGAAAUUUGGAAUGCUUAUACAAUUAAUGUGCAAUGUCACUUAUACGGUCUGAUGCAUUGUUAGAUGCAGUUUCUUGCAUAUCUUGUAUCAAUUAAAUAAAAUUCACUUUAGCACACAGAUGUUUUACAACCAAAUAUAUUUGCAUUGUAAGAUGGGGUCUAGACAAUUGGUUCUAAAAGAAGGAAUUUCGCAAAGAAAAAUUGAUGCUUAUAGUUUUGCUCAAUUAGCUCGUUCAUCCUAUCACACUGAUGCAUUUGUAUGUUAUGUUGAUUUCAGUCCAUUUCAUCCUUUGUGAGAAGAGUGGAGGUAGGUAUAUUUUGCUAAACAAUAUUCUUCCUUAUUAUUUAUUGUCGUGCUUCUAAACCAUUUCAUCUUUGCCCUGUUUCUGUAUCUGUAACCAUUUCACCACUGCCAUGUUACUGAACCAGUAACAUGAAAUUUAUUCUUUAAUUGUCUGCAUCCCUGUUAUAAUAUCCAUCUUUUAUUUCUUAUUCAUGGCAUGAUUGUAAUUUAGCUAGGAUAUAAUGAUUACUAUUGCUGGAUGUUUGGUUUGGUGCUUCCUGAUUGAGUUAGGCUGCCUAGUGCUUCAAGUUAGCUAUGCUUUCUUUUGAAGUCCCGGUUGCAUCAUGAUUUGUUGUUUUACUAAGAUGCUGAUUAAUACACAUACUUGGUUUGGCAAAAACUCUGUUGGGUGGAAGUGCAUCGGAGACAGCUUCUCAACAUGAUGCAUGGCUCCGUUGGCGCGGCGGAGCGAUGACACUGCCACUUGCCCAGCCUCUGCUGACUUAAUAUUCGCCGAUGCUACCGCGUCCAUCUUUAAGUCGCCUCACCUUAUGUCCCCAAGCUGACAGAAGUCAAGGCCACUGCGCCUCUGAUCCAGCAUCUAUUUUAUGUAAUGUGCUUGUGACCAGAGUGUAAAAGUUUAAUUUUUAUUCGAAUUACUAUGAUCGUCCUA